rnacentral:lncRNA from 1 species
CGCUCGGUGCUCCGACCUCGUCCCUGGGGAGGCUGCCCCAGCGCCCGACACCUCUGGGUGCAGACCCUGACACCCAGCCCGCCCCUGCCCUGUCCCAGCCCCGUGCCUCCACCUCGCAACGCCCGCCCUCAUCCCGCACACGCCGCUGGACGCCGGCCGGCCGGGGGCACGUUCCACCUUCACAACCUCCCCUCCUGCAUUUCCAGUGAGGAAAACCCAAGGCGCCGAGCCAAACCCUGCACCUCCCGAAGCAGAGGAGGGUCGGCACCCCCACAGUGGGGCCAGCCCCUGCGCCUCUCCUCAGCCACACCGCCCCCGGACCCUCCCCUCAGCGCCGCGACAUGGCGGACGCCGGGCCCCGGCCCUGCCCGCUCCGGGGCGGUGCCGAGGGCGGUGCUGGAGCCUCAGCGGCGCGGGAAGAGCGGAGCCGAGGUUGUGGCGACUGGGACAUCGCCAUCAGGAGCCCAUCGGAGAGGUCCGGAGGGGAUUUGGGUGCUGGGUGUAGGGGAAGUCGGGGGUUGGGGUAGGGACGCUGAGGGGACGAGGGGUUGGGGACGGAGAGGUGCGGGGACAAAGGGGUGGGGAGGAGGUGUGGGGACAAUUUGGGGAGGGAGAGGUGUGGGGGCGAGCUUUUGGGGAAGUGGAAGGCUUGGGGAGGGGGUGUUUGGGGAAGUGAAAGUUUUUAGGAGGGCGAGGGACCAAAGGUUAACGGGGAGCGCCACAGAGCGGUGUGCGGGGCAGCACGGUGGGCCCUGGGGUUUGGGAAGGGGAACUGGGUGGUGGGGGGCUUCCUACAGGGUCUGGGCUUCAAGUCCUGGCCUCUCCUCUGAGAGGUGCUUGGUCUCAGCACUCUUCACAGCACACCCUGCCUCGCACAGGAGCCAUGUCUACACGCAACCUCUUCACCCUCGUCCUGGUGGUGCAACCGUCUCGCAUCCUCCUGGGCAUGAAGAAACGCGGGUUCGGAGCCGGGCUCUGGAACGGUUUUGGGGGAAAGGUGCAGACAGGAGAGAGCAUCGAGGAGGCUGCUCACAGGGAACUCAAGGAAGAGAGCGGACUAACAGUGGACACCUUGCAGAAGAUGGGCCAGAUCACAUUUGA